GCGGGUAUAGUAUAUCGGUAUUAUGCUACCUUCCCAAGGUAGAGAGACGGGUUCGACUCCCGUUACCCGCU
rnacentral:tRNA from 1 species